rnacentral:rRNA from 1 species
GAUGAACGCUAGCUACAGGCUUAACACAUGCAAGUCGAGGGGAAACGACAUCGAAAGCUUGCUUUUGAUGGGCGUCGACCGGCGCACGGGUGAGUAACGCGUAUCCAACCUGCCCAUCACUUGGGAAUAACCUUGCGAAAGUAAGACUAAUACCCAAUGCCAUCCCACGAAGACAUCUGAAUGGGGUUAAAGAUUUAUCGGUGAUGGAUGGGGAUGCGUCUGAUUAGCUGGUUGGCGGGGUAACGGCCCACCAAGGCAACGAACAGUAGGUGUUCUGAGGGGAAGGUCCCCCACAAUUGAGCCACGGCCCAGACCCCUCCCCUACGGGGCGGAGGGGUAUGGUAGACUAGGCGAGCGGCGAUAGCCUGAACCAGCCAAGUAGCUUGCAGGAUGACGGCCCUUUGGGUUGUAAACUGCUUUUAUAAGGGAACAACGUGUGUCUCGUGAGACUUUUUGCCUGUACCUUAUGAAUAAGCACCGGCUAAUUCCGUG